AGUAAAUAGAUACCCGGGUAGUCCAUGCUGUAAACGAUGUCAACUAGCCGUUGGGGCCCUUGAGGCUUUAGUGGCGCAGCUAAACGCGAUAGGUUGACCGCCUGGGGAGUACGGCCGCAAGGUUAAAACUCAAAUGAAUUGACGGGGGCCCGCACAAGCGGUGGAGUAUGUGGUUUAAUUCGAUGCAACGCGAAGAACCUUACCUGGCCUUGACAUAUCCGGAACCCUGCAGAGAUGCGGGGGUUGCCUUCGGGAAUCGGAAUACAGGUGCUGCAUGGCUGUCGUCAGCUCGUGUCGUGAGAUGUUGGGUUAAGUCCCGCAACGAGCGCAACCCUUAUCCUUAGUUGCCAGCGCGUAAAGGCGGGAACUCUAGGGAGACUGCCGGUGACAAACCGGAGGAAGGCGGGGACGACGUCAAGUCAUCAUGGCCCUUACGGCCAGGGCUACACACGUACUACAAUGGUCGGUACAAAGGGUUGCUAAGCCGCGAGGCCACGCCAAUCUCAAAAACGCCGAUCGUAGUCCAGAUUGGAGUCUGCAACUCGACUCC
rnacentral:rRNA from 1 species